UACGUAGGGUGCAAGCGUUAAUUCGGAAUUUACUGGCGUAAGCGUGCGCAGGCGGUUAAUGUAAGACAGAUGUGAAAUGCCCGGGCUUAACCUGGAACUGCAUUUUUGUGACUGCAUGGCUAGAGUUUUGGCAGAGGGGGGGGGGUAGAAUUCACGUGUAGCAGUGAAAUGCGUAGAUAUGUGGAGGAACACCGAUGGCGAAGGCAGCCCUGGGUCAAGACUGACGCUCAUGCACGAAAGGCGUGGGAGCAAA
rnacentral:rRNA from 1 species